UAAUACGUAGGGGCCAAGCGUUGUCCGGAGUUACUGGGCGUAAAGCGUGCGCAGGCGGCUCGUUGCGCCCGACGUGAAAGCCCCCGGCCCAACCGGGGAGGGUCGUCGGGGACGGGCGAGCUUGAGGGGUGCAGGGGCUGGUGGAACUCCCGGUGUAGUGGUGAAAUGCGUAGAGAUCGGGAAGAACACCCGUGGCGAAGGCGGCCAGCUGGGCACCACCUGACGCUGAGGCACGAAGGCGUGGGGAGCGAACGGGAUUAGAUACCCCGGUAGUCCACGCAGUAAACGAUGCAGACUAGGCGUGGGGGGACUUGACCCCCUCCGUGCCGGAGCCAACGCGGGAAGUCUGCCGCCUGGGGAGUACGGCCGCAAGGCUAAAACUCAAAUGAAUUGACGG
rnacentral:rRNA from 1 species